rnacentral:piRNA from 1 species
ACAGCCACACCUUCAGCUUAGGGAAUGCCUCU